rnacentral:rRNA from 1 species
UGAGGAAUUUUGCGCAAUGGGGGAAACCCUGACGCAGCAACGCCGCGUGAGUGAAGAAGGCCUUUGGGUCGUAAAGCUCUGUCAACUGGGAAGAAGUUACUUAUAUCCAAUAGGUAUAAGUAUUGACGGUACC